UAUUUUUUUCAAAUCUGCCCGCGCUUAUUUGCUAUGUACACGUGUGCUGACUUGUGAUGCAAUUUAUUGCCGCUCUAUUAUCAGCUAAAUGUGCCUCAGGCAACAACGUUUUAAAUAUUCCAGCACUUGCUUCUGUGAGGGAUCCAGGCCACGUAAAUCCAGCUGCCACCGACCGAAUGAAACCUCGCUACUAAAUAGAGCGCUCAAAAAUCAAAGCCACACAUUUUAGGCGUAAACAGGACCACAAUAAGCUGGACCCAACUAUACGGCUGAGUCAACCGGGGAUAGAAGCGACUCAUCGUUUGCGCAUAAAACAGCGUCAAGGUCUCUGCUGCGUUGUGACAAAUUAUGCCCUCGAUGAGUUCGGUACGCUUUUGGGCUGGGUACAUCAACGAGGAAUAAUACUGCCUUACCUACAAAUUACAGCCGUCGGGUUGCGCGACGCUGUCCGCGCGCGAAGACCACGAUCGCCCUGCCCCAACUUACAGACUGGGCCAGUUACGAAACAGAGCUGUUUAUUAGCCGAUCGCGUAUACGGGCUGGUUGGUGAGGCGUGAAACUGUAUCUAACAGCGCAGAUUUCGGAGUCGAAUAAAGCUUUUAGGCCCCGGGUGCUUCUGACCUGGUCGCAAACCGUAAUGCUACCACCGUCUCGUUGUUGCCAUCCAUGAUGUACAGCAACUCGAAUCAGCGAACGCCUUUUCAGUUUUAUUAGUAGUAAUCCGGUUAGAUCAGAGCAAUGGCCUGUGCUAUUGCUAGUACUGUUGCAAGGCUGGAGACAUCCCAGUGUCUGGGGGGGGGCUCGGUUCAGCAAUCCAAUGACGAAGUAGACGACAUUUCAACCUUACAGAAAGGUGCAGUCUGGGCAUGGUUGCUGUGUGACGUCGGGCGCUUCCCACGUAUAUUAGCCAGACCGCAAUAUGUGUGCAAUGCCAUCUGUAUGUGUCGAUAGGUAGCAAAAAGAAAAGAACCAGUGUAGCUAGCAGCAAGCGCAGAAGGGCUGGCUCCAAUUCCAGGAUAUCAGAUCAGCUAAGCGGAAGUAUUGCCCUCUCUAAGCUGUUUUCGGGGGCCAAGCAGCUAAACCGUUCGCUAACCUGACUUGAUGCCUUGACCAACGGUAUCAAUAGAUGGUCAAACCUUAGAGGUGAGUCAGGUGAACCUUAGAGUUUGCGCUCAGCUAAAUCUUCAAUGGACUAAUGCUACGAUGUCCACUGGCACCCAUCAUCACCAGCUGAGUUGGAAUUCCACUUAGAAAUAUAUAUAUAUGUAUAUAUAUAA